rnacentral:lncRNA from 1 species
AGCUUCAUUGUAGCUGUGAAUGCUCCGUUCCUCUCCUUUUCACCCUUGAAGAUUCGCGAACAUACAGGAUCGGGCUGUGUGAGGCAGAGCAUCCCCCGCGUGGUAGGCAGGGGAGGAUGCGGGUCUGACGGCUCUCCCCACUGGGGCUGAUGGGAACGUGUUAGGGAAUCUCAGAGCUUGUGGCUAAACAGCCUGCCCUCCCACGGUCAGUGUUCCCACCAUCGCAGUGUGGAGGUUUUUGAUUUUCUGGAAGGUUUUUAUGGGUACAGAUUUUACAAAGGAAAAACGGGAAUGAAGACUAUCCAAUCAGAGGCUGCGUAGAUUGAGACACGGAUGGCCCUAAAGGCAGCAGAGACUGAUGUGCAGCCUACGGUUUUA